rnacentral:rRNA from 1 species
AACAUAGCCAGAGGAAGAUAUUUUUGGUUUAACCUGCCCAAUGUAUUAUUGUAUGAAUGGCCGCGGUACCCUGACCGUGCUAAGGUAGCGUAAUCAGUUGGCUUUUAAAUGGAGUCAGGUAUGAAUGGGAUAACCGGGCUUAGCUGUCUCAAAGACAUUUAUUUGAAUUUACUGUUCAAGUGAAAAAGCUUGAUGUAAGAAAAGGGACGAGAAGACCCUUAGAAUUUUGUUUAAAGAGGAUUAUCUCCUCUAUGAUUUUGUUGGGGCGACAGAGAAAUAAUUAAAACUUUCUUUAAAUUAAUCAGUCGGAAUUUUCAGGUUAGGAUAAAUUACCUGAGGGAUAACAGCAUAAUUUUAUAAAUAAGUUUGUGACCUCGAUGUUGGGACUAGGGAAGCUAAAUGGGUUAGCUGCUCAUUGUGCGGAUUCUGUUCGAAUUUUAACUCCUACGUGAUCU